rnacentral:rRNA from 1 species
CCCUUAGAUGUUCUGGGCCGCACGCGCGCUACACUGACGAAUGCAACGAGCUUAUAACCUUGGCCGAAAGGUCUGGGUAAUCUCCAAAUUUCGUCGUGAUGGGGAUAGAUUAUUGCAAUUAUUAAUCUUCAACGAGGAAUACCUAGUAAGCGCAAGUCAUCAGCUUGCGUUGAUUACGUCCCUGCCCUUUGUACACACCGCCCGUCGCUCCUACCGAUUGAAUGGUCCGGUGAAGCGCUCGGACCGCGGCCUCUUGACGGUUCGCUGUCGAUUGGCUGUGGGAAGUUCGUUAAACCUUAUCAUUUAGAGGAAGGAGAAGUCGUAACA